rnacentral:rRNA from 1 species
AUCUAUGACCAUACCGCCCUGAAAACCCACAAUCUAGGCUGAUUUCAAAUUAAGCAGGGACAGGCCUGGUUGGUACUUGGAUGAGAGAAAAAAAUAAGAAAUUAAGAUU